UGCCGGCCGUCCAUAGGCCGGGGUUACUGAAGAGGCACUACUCUUGCCGGGCGCGUGGAUGGGGUCUUCCCACUCUCGCAAAGGCGUUGAACCCGACCG
rfam:Blastochloris viridis isolate 1 genome assembly, chromosome: I